rnacentral:rRNA from 1 species
AAUGAACGUUGGCGGCGUGGAUUAGGCAUGCAAGUCGAGCGAGAAGUCUGUGAGUGAUCCUUCGGGUGAGCGAUCAGACGGACAGCGGCAAACGGCGUAGUAAUGGAUAGGUAACGUACCCUCAGGACGGGAAUAGCCACGGGAAACUGUGGGUAAUGCCCGAUAAUGUCUUCGGACCAAAUGGUGUGAUUCCGCCUGAGGAGCGGCUUAUUCGGUAUUAGCUUGCUGGUGGGGUAACGGCCUACCAGGGCGAAGAUGCUUAGGGGGUGUGAGAGCAUGGCCCCCACGACCGGGACUGAGACACUGCCCCGGACACCUACGGGUGGCUGCAGUCGAGAAUCUUCCGCAAUGGGCGCAAGCCCCGACGGAGCGACGCCGCGUGGUGGAUGAAGGCCCUUGGGUUGUAAACACCUGUCAGAGGGGAUGAAGUUGUGAGGG